GCCAUGCAUGUCUAAGUACAAGCGAAAAUAAAGUGAAACCGCAAAAGGCUCAUUAUAUCAGUUAUGGUUCCUUAGAUCGUAUCCACAAUUACUUGGAUAACUGUGGUAAUUCUAGAGCUAAUACAUGCAAUUAAAGAGAAACCAAUGAAAAUUGGGAUCUCUGCUUUUAUUAGAUUUAAACCAAUGGGGAUUGUUUCGGCAUUCUCAAAUAAAAUGGUUGAACUCUGGAUAAUUUGUUGAUCGCAUGGUCUUGUACCGGCGACGGAUCUUUCAAAUAUCUGCCCUAUCAACUAUUGAAGGUAGUGUCUUGGACUACCUUGGUUGCAACGGGUAACGGGGAAUCAGGGUUCGAUUCCGGAGAGGGAGCCUGAGAAACGGCUACCACAUCUAAGGAAGGCAGCAGGCGCGUAAAUUACCCACUCCCGGCACGGGGAGGUAGUGACGAAAAAUAACAAUACAAGACUCACAUCCGAGGCCUUGUAAUUGGAAUGAGUAAACUUUAAAUCCUUUUACGAGGAUCAAUUGGUGAGCAAGCCUGGUGCCAGCCGUCGCGGUAAUUCCAGCACCAAUAGCGUAUAUUAAAGUUGUUGCGGUUAAAACGUUCGUAGUUGAACUUGUGUUUCGCACGGGUAAUACCUGGGACUAGGUAACUAGGACGGUAUUUAUCUUAUCUUUCCAUUUUCUCAUUGGGAAUUUGGAAAAAGUGCGUGAACGUAUUAUCGGCGUGAUCAAUAAAUAGUUUUAUUAAAUGAAUGAUUGACACAUAAGCCCAUUUCAGUGCUCUUCACCGAGUGUUGUUGUGGGCCGAUACAAAUUACUUUGAACAAAUUAGAGUGCUUAAUGCAGGCUUGUAAUGCCUGAAUAUUUUUUGCAUGGAAUAAUGAAAUAGGACAUCUGUUCUACUUUCAUUGGUUUUUUAGACCAAGAUGUAAUGAUUAAUGGAAGCAGUUGGGGGCAUUAGUAUUACAACGCGAGAGGUGAAAUUCUUAGACCGUUGUAAGACUGACUAAAGCGAAAGCAUUUGCCAAAAAUGUUUUCAUUAAUCAAGAACGAAAGUUAGAGUUUCGA
rnacentral:rRNA from 1 species